rnacentral:misc_RNA from 1 species
UCCGGCUUAUCACCGGCAGUUUCUUUAGAGUGCCCAACUGAAUGGUGGCAACUAAAGACGAGGGUUGCGCUCGUUGCGGGACUUAACCCAACAUCUCACGACACGAGCUGACGACAGCCAUGCAGCACCUGUCUCCGAUCCAGCCGAACUGAAGGAUCUCAUCUCUGAAACCCGCGAUCGGGAUGUCAAGGGCUGGUAAGGUUCUGCGCGUUGCUUCGAAUUGAACCACAUGCUCCACCGCUUGUGCGGGUCCCCGUCAAUUCCUUUGAGUUUUAAUCUUGCGACCGUACUCCCCAGGCGGUCGACUUCACGCGUUAGCUGCGUUACCGAAGGAGUUACCCUCCGACAACUAGUCGACAUCGUUUAGGGCGUGGACUAC